rnacentral:lncRNA from 1 species
AAGAUAAUAAUAAGCAAACGAAAGAAAUGUAAUGGCGUUUGGAGGCGAAUUUGUGACGAAUUGAAAGGGGAUUGUAGGCGAAUGAAAAUUUGGCAAAGCGUCGAACAUUACAAUCAAAUACAAACCAACUUUCAAGCACGAAAUCCGUACUAUGAUACCAUUUUAAAAUUUAAUGUAUAGGGCUAAGGAAUGACAAGGCACCCUACAGAGUACCUGCAGGUUUUUCAGAAAAAAUCGUAUAUAAAGCUCUCCCCUAUUUGCUUCCAGCCCUUAGAUGAUAUAGAAGAAAUUAAUAAGAAGAUGGUUAAGAAGAUAGAAGAACUAAACCUAGAUUAUAUAAUCGGUUAUGGCUUUUCUACGUUUUUUUUGCUACGCUUCCCAAACCCUAGAUACAUACAUAGAUGGAGAUGAAGUUCUUGCCAUUUAUAGGCCCAGAAAACAAUGGUUUUGACUAAAUUAUUUCCACCGUCUUUCUAUCCUAAUUUCUUACUCCAUUUUAGAUGAUAUAUUCCCCUUUUAUUGCAACAACAAAAAAACACUUAUUUUUUGUAUUUUAAGAUCAUUUUUUAUGAUCUUAAAUUACAAAAACCCGAUUACCAAAUUUUACUGAUUAUAAUAUCCAUUCAUCAACUAGUUUCAAUCUGCUGAAUACUAACGGCCAUAUGGUUCUUUCAAUGUGCAUUUGUAAGCAUAGGCAUGCUAAGCUUUUUUCAUUACCAACACUAAAGUAUAAUUACAAAAUAUGAAACCAUAAAUCAAAAAUCACACUUUUCAAAAAAUACUUGUUGUAAACAAGAACAUAAACAAUCGAAAGAUUAUUAAGCAAACGAAAUAAGUGUAAUGGCGUUUGGAGGCGAAUUUGUGAUGAAUUGAAAGGGGAUUGUAGGCGAAAGGAAAUUUGGAAAAGCGCCGAACAUUACAAUCAAAUACAAACCAACUUUCAAGAACAAAAUUCGUACUAUGAUGCCAUUUUAAAAUUUAAUGUAUAGGACUAAGGAAUGACAAGGCACCCUACAGAGUACCUGCAGGUUUUUCAGAGACAUCGUAUAUAAAGCUCCCUUAUUUGCAUCCAGCCCUUACAUGAUAAAUAGAAGAAAGUAAUAAGAAGAUGGUUAAGGAGAUAGAAGAACUAAACCUAGAUUAUAUAAUCGGAUAUAGCUUUUCUACGUUUUUUCUGCAGCGCUUCCCAAACCCUAGAUACAUGCCUAGAUGGAGAUGGAGUUCUUACCAUUUAUAGGCCUACCAAACAAUGGUUUUGACCAAAUUAUUUCCACAGUCUUUCUAUCCUAAUUUCUUACUUCAUUUUAGAUGAUAUAUUCCCCUGUUAUUGCAACAACAAAAAACACUUAUUUUUGUAUUUUAAGAUCAUUUUUUAAGAUCUUAAAAUACAAAAACCCGAUUACCGAAUUUUAUUGAUUAUAAUAUUUAUUAAUCAACUAGUUUCAAUCUGCUGAAUACCAACGGCCAUAUGGUUCUUUCAAUGUGCAUUUGUAAGCAUAGGCACCCCAUGCUAAGCCUUUUUCAUUACCAACACUAAAGUAUAAUUACAAAAUAUGAAAUCAUGAAUCAAAAAUUACUCUUCUCAAAAAAUACUUGUUGUAAACAAGGACAAAAAGAAUCAAAAGAUAAUAAUAAGCAAACGAAAGAAAUGUAAUGGCGUUUGGAGGCGAAUUUGUGACGAAUUGAAAGGGGAUUGUAGGCGAAAGAAAAUUUGGAAAAGCGCCGAACAUCACAAUCAAAUACAAACCAACUUUCAACAACGAAAUUCAUACAAUGAUACCAUUUUAAAAUUUAAUGUAUAGGGCUAAGGAAUGACAAGGCACCCUACAGAGUACCUGCAGGUUUUUCAGAACCAUCAUAUAUAAAGCUCUCCCCUAUUUGCAUCCAACCCUUACAUGAUAUAGAAGAAAGUAAUAAGAAGAUGGUUAAGAAGAUAGAAGAACUAAACCUAGAUUAUAUAAUCGGAUAUGGCUUUUCUACAUUUUUUCGGCUGUGGUACCCAAACCCCAGAUACAUACAUAGAUGGAGAUGAACUUCUUACCAUUUAUAGGCCCAGCAAACAAUGGUUUUGACCAAAUUAUUUUCAUCGUCUUUCUAUCCUAAUUUCUUACUCCAUUUUAGAUGAUAUAUUUUCCCCUGUUAUUGCAACAACAAAAAACACUUAUUUUUGUAUUUUAAGAUCAUUUUUUAAGAUCUUAAAAUACAAAAACCUGAUUACCGAAUUUUAUUGAUUAUAAUAUCCAUUCAUCAAUUAGCUUCAAUCCGUUGAAUACCAACGGCCAUAUGGUUCUUUCAAUGUGCAUUUGUAAGCAUAGGCACCCCAUGCUAAGCCUUUUUCAUUACCAACACUAAAGUAUAAUUACAAAAUAUGAAAUCAUGAAUCAAAAAUUACUCUUCUCAAAAAAUACUUGUUGUAAACAAGGACAAAAAGAAUCAAAAAAUAAUAAUAAGCAAACGAAAGAAAUGUAAUGGCGUUUGGAGGCGAAUUUGUGACGAAUUGAAAGGGGAUUGUAGGCGAGAGAAAAUUUGGCAAAGCGUCGAACAUCACAAUCAAAUACAAACCAACUUUCAAGCACGAAAUCCGUACUAUGAUACCAUUUUAAAAUUUAAUGUAUAGGGCUAUGGAAUGACAAGGCACCCUAUAGAGUACCUGCAAGUUCUUCAUAGCCAUCGUAUAUAAAGCUCUCCCCUAUUUGCAUCAAGCCCUUACAUGAUAUAGAAGAAAGUAAUAAGAAGAUGGUUAAGGAGAUAGAAGAAUUAAACCUAGAUUAUAUAAUCUGAUAUGGCUUUUCUACAUUUUUUCGACUGCGCUUCCCAAACCCUAGAUACAUACAUAGAUGGAGAUGAACUUCUUGCCAUUAAUAGGCCCAGCAAACAAUGGUUUUGACCAAAUUAUUUCCACCGUCUUUCUAUCCUAAUUUCUUACUCCAUUUUAGAUGAUAUAUUCCCUUUUUAUUGCAACAACAAUAAAACACUUAUUUUUGUAUUUUAAGAUCAUUUUUUAAGAUCUUAAAUUCCAAAAACCCGAUUACCGAAUUUUACUGAUUAUAAUAUCCAUUCAUCAACUAGUUUCAAUCUGCUGAAUACCAACGGCCAUAUGGUUCUUUCAAUGUGCAUUUGUAAGCAUAGGCACCUUAUGCUAAGCCUUUUUCAUUACUAACACUAAAGUAUAAUUACAAAAUAUGAAACCAUGAAUCAAAAACCACUCUUUUCAAAAAAUACUUGUUGCAAACAAGGACAAAAAGAAUCGAAAGAUAAUAAUAAGCAAACGAAAGAAAUGUAAUGGCGUUUGGAGGCGAAUUUGUGACGAAUUGAAAGGGGAUUGUAGGCGAAAGAAAAUUUGGCAAAGCGCCGAACAUCACAAUCAAAUACAAACCAACUUUCAAGCACGAAAUCCGUACUAUGAUACCAUUUUAAAAUUUAAUGUAUAGGGCUAAGGAAUGACAAGGCACCCUACAGAAUACCUGCAGGUUUUUCAGAGCCAUCGUAUAUAAAGCUCUCCCCUAUUUGCAUCCAGCCCUUACAUGAUAUAGAAGAAAGUAAUAAGAAGAUGGUUAAGAAGAUAGAAGAACUAAACCUAGAUUAUAUAAUCAGAUAUGGCUUUUCUACAUUUUUUCGGAUGCGCUUCCCAAACCAUAGAUACAUACAUAGAUGGAGAUGAACUUCUUGCCAUUAAUAGGCCCAGCAAACAAUGGUUUUGACCAAAUUAUUUUCACCGUCUUUCUAUCCUAAUUUCUUACUCCAUUUUAGAUGAUAUAUUCCAAUGUUAUUACAACAACAUAAAACACUUAUUUUUGUAUUUUAUGAUCAUUUUUUAAGAUCUUAAAAUACAAAAACCCGAUUACCGGAUUUUAUUAAUUAUAAUAUUCAUUCAUCUACUAGCUUCAAUCUGUUGAAUACCAACGGCCAUAUGGUUCUUUCAAUGUGCAUUUAUAAGCUUAGGCACCCCAUGCUAAGCCUUUUUCAUUACCAACACUAAAAUAUAAUUACAAAAUAUGAAACCAUGAAUCAAAAAUCACUCUUUUCAAAAAAUACUUGUUGUACACAAGGACAUAAAGAAUCGAAAGAUAAUAAUAAGCAAACGAAAGAAAUGUAAUUGUGUUUAGAGGCGAAUUUGUGACGAAUUGAAAGGGGAUUGUAGACGAAAGGAAAUUUGGCAAAACGUCGAACAUCACAAUCAAAUACAAACCAACUUUCAAGCACAAAAUUCGUAGUAUGAUACCAUUUUAAAAUUUAAUGUAUAGGGCUAAGGAAUGACAAGGCACCCUACAGAGUAUCUGCAUGUUCUUCAGAGCCAUCGUAUAUAAAGCUCUCCCCUAUUUGCAUCCAGCCCUUACAUGAUAUAGAAGAAAGUAAUAAGAAGAUGGUCAAGGAGAUAGAAGAAUUAAACCUAGAUUAUAUAAUCGGAUAUGGCUUUUCUACGUUUAUUCUGUUUCGCUUCCCAAACUCCAGAUACAUACAUAGAUGGAGAUGGAGUUCUUACCAUUUAUAUGCCCGGCUAACAAUGGUUUUGACCAAAUUAUUUCCACCGUCUUUCUAUCCUAAUUUAUUACUUCAUUUUAGAUGAUAUAUUCCCUUGUUAUUGCAACAACAAAAAACACUUAUUUUUGUAUUUUAAGAUCAUUUUUUAAGAUCUUAAAAUACAAAAACCCGAUUACCGAAUUUUAUUGAUUAUAAUAUACAUUCAUCAAUUAGCUUCAAUACGCUGAAUACCAACGGCCAUAUGGUUCUUUCAAUUUGAAUUUGUAAGCAUAGGCACCCCAUGCUAAGCCUUUUUCAUUACCAACACUAAAGUAUAAUUACAAAAUAUGAAAUCAUGAAUUAAAAAUCACUCUUUUCAAAAAAUACUUGUUGUAAACAAGGACAAAAAGAAUCGAAAGAUAAUAAUAAGCAAACGAAAGAAAUGUAAUGGCGUUUGGAGGCUAAUUUGUGACGAAUUGAAAGGGGAUUGUAGGUGAAAAGAAAUUUGGCAAAGCUUCGAACAUUACAAUCAAAUACAAACCAACUUUCAAGCACGAAAUCCGUACUAUGAUACCAUUUUAAAAUUUAAUGUAUAGGGCUAAGGAAUGACAAGGCACCCUACAGAAUACCUGCAGGUUUUUCAGAGCCAUCGUAUAUAAAGUUCUCCCCUAUUUGCAUCCAGCCCUUACAAGAUAUAGAAGAAAGUAAUAAGAAGACGGUUAAGAAGAUAGAAGAACUAAACCUAGAUUUUAUAAUCGGAUAUGGCUUUUCUACAUUUUUUCGGCUGCGCUUCCCAAACCCUAGAUACAUACAUAGAUGGAGAUGAACUUCUUGCCAUUUAUAGGCCCAGCAAACAAUGGUUUUGACCAAAUUAUUUUCACCGCCUUUCUAUCCUAAUUUCUUACUCCAUUUUAGAUGAUAUAUUCCCCUUUUAUUGCAACAACAAAAAAACACUUAUUUUUGUAUUUUAAGAUCAUUUUUUAAGAUCUUAAAUUACAAAAACCCGAUUAUCGAAUUUUACUGAUUAUAAUAUCCAUUCAUCAACUAGUUUCAAUCUGUUGAAUACUAACGGCCAUAUGGUUCUUUCAAUGUGCAUUUGUAAGCAUAGGCAUGCUAAACUUUUUUCAUUACCAACACUAAAGUAUAAUUACAAAAUAUGAAACCAUGAAUCAAAAAUCACACUUUUCAAAAAAUACUUGUUGUAAACAAGAACAUAAACAAUCGAAAGAUAAUAAUAAGCAAACGAAAGAAGUGUAAUGGCAUUUGGAGGCGAAUUUGUGAUGAAUUGAAAGGGGAUUGUAGGCGAAAGGAAAUUUGGCAAAGCGCCGAACAUUACAAUCAAAUACAAACCAACUUUCAAGCAUAAAAUUCGUACUAUGAUGAUACCAUUUUAAAAUUUAAUGUAUAGGACUAAAUAAUGACAAGGCACCCUACAGAGUACCUGCAGGUUUUUCAGAGACAUCGUAUAUAAAGCUCCCCUAUUUGCAUCCAGCCCUUACAUGAUAUAUAGAAGAAAGUAAUAAGAAGAAGGUUAAGGAGAUAGAAGAACUAAACCUAGAUUAUAUAAUCGGAUAUAGCUUUUCUACGUUUUUUCUGCAGUGCUUCCCAAACCCUAGAUACAAUCAUAGAUGCAAAUGGAAAUGGAGUUCUUGCCAUUUAUAGGCCCAGUCAACAAUGGUUUUGACCAAAUUAUUUCCGCCGUCUUUCUAUCCUAAUUUCUUACUCCAUUUUAGAUGAUAUAUUCCAAUGUUUUUGCAACAAAAAAAACGCUUAUUUUUGUAUUUUAAGAUCUUAAAAUACAAAAACCUGAUUACCGUAUUUUAUUGAUUAUAAUAUUAACUCAUCAACUAGCUUCAAUCUGCUGAAUACCAACGACCAUAUGGUUCUUUCAAUGUGCAUUUGUAAGCAUAGGCAUGCUAAGCUUUUUUCAUUACCAACACUAAAGUAUAAUUACAAAAUAUGAAACCAUGAAUCAAAAAUCUCUCUUUUCAAAAAAUAAUUGUUGUAAACAAGGACAUAAAGAAUCGAAAGAUAAUAAUAAGCAAACGAAAGAAAUGUAAUGGCGUUUGGAGGUGAAUUUGUGACGAAUUGAAAGGGGAUUGUAGGCGAAAGGAAAUUUGGCAAAGCGCCGAACAUCACAAUCAAAUACAAACCAACUUUCAAGCACGAAAUCCGUACUAUGAUACCAUCUUAAAAUUUAAUGUAUAGGGCUAAGGAAUGACAAGGCACCCUAUAGAGUACCUGCAGGUUUUUUAGAGCCAUCGUAUAUAAAGCUCUCCCCUAUUUGCAUCCAGCCCUUAAAUGAUAGAGAAGAAAGUAAUAAGAAGAUGGUUAAGAAGAUAGAAGAACUACACCUAGAUUAUAUAAUCGGAUUUGAAUUUUCUACGUUUUUUCGGCUGUUCUUCCCAAACCCUAGAUACAUUCAUAAAUGCAGAUGGAAAUGGAAUUCUUGCCAUUUAUAGGCACAGCAAACAAUGUUUUUGACCAAAUUAUUUCCACCGUCAUUCUAUCCUAAUUUCUUACUCCAUUUUAGAUUAUAUAUUCCCCUGUUAUUGCAACAACAAAAAAACCCUUAUUUUUGUAUUUUAAGAUCUGAAAAUAUAAAAACCCGAUUAUCGAAUUUUAUUGAUUAUAAUAUCCAUUCAUCAACUAGUUUCAAUCUGCUGAAUACCAACGGCCAUAUGGUUCUUUCGAUGUGCAUUUGUAAGCAUAGGCACCCCAUGCUAAGCCUUUUUCAUUACCAACACUAAAGUAUAAUUACAAAAUAUGAAAUCAUGAAUCAAAAAUCACACUUUUCAAAAAAUACUUGUUGUAAACAAGGACAUAAAGAAUCGAAAGAUAAUAAUAAGCAAACGAAAGAAAUGUAAUGGCGUUUGGAGGCAAAUUUGUGAAAAAAUGAAAGGGAUUGUAGGCAAAAGGAAAUCUGGCAAAGCACUGAACAUUACAAUCAAAUACAAACCAACUUUCAAGCAUGAAAUCCGUACUAUGAUACCUUUUUAAAAUGGCUUAAAUAUGAAUUAGUACCCUAAACUAUAGGCCAUAUUCCACUUUGGUGAUCCACCUUUCAAUUUUGUCAAUUACAUGAUUAAACUUUCAAUUUUUUCCAAUUGCAACAAAUUGAAUAUGCCACGUCAGAAAUUGCUGACGUGGCUAAUUGUGUGGGGCCUUAAUAAGCUGAUGUGGUAAAAAAAACAAUUUUUUAAUUAUUAAAUAAACAAAUCUGAUUAUGGGUGGGGCAAAAUCGUCAAAACCAAAUUAAAAUAAAAUAAACUUAUAUAUCAGUACCUUUCGUCCCUUCCAUUAUAAUCGAUCGAUCAAGAUAAAAGCCCAAAAUCGCUCGACAAACCCUAGCUCAACUGAAGCGAAGAAUUUUUGAGAAUCAACCAUUUCGGUACUCAAUCGGUUCAACAAUGAAGUAAGUAUGUGAUUUAGCUUUUCUCUGUUGCUCUGUUACUACCCCAAAAGUAAAAAUCUUACUCAGUUCUCCUGAUAGUCCUACUAUCAUCUGGUGUGAUUUAAAAGAUUUAAGGAAAACAAGCGAGUUAGGGUUUCAGUUAUCUACCCCAAAAAUCCCUCACUGAAAAUGGAAAUGACUGGUAUGGAAGAUGAACUGGAGUUGAGCGAGUGUCUUGAUUCGAUGGGUGAGACUCCAAGGUGCUAUUGUGGGUAUAGAGCUCGAAUGAAGAUAUCUUGGACUAAGAGUAAUUCAGGAAGAAGGUUCUUUGGUUGUCCACACUAGAGCAAGGUAUAGUAAUAUAGUCUUGGUUGGCUGAGUUUUACUCUUAUUCUCUAGGUACUAUAAAAUACACUUGUGUUGAAAUUGUAUUUAUGUUUUGAUUUGGUUUUUAUCAACCAUGCAGGACAAAUUGACAAGCAAACACUGCAACUUCUUUUGUUGGUAUGACCAAGAGAUUUGUAAAAGGUCUAAAGAAGUUUUACCUGAGUUGAAACUUAUGAUAAGUGCUCUAAAUUUAGAAAUAGAAAGAAAGAAGUAUGAAAUUGAGAGAGGCACUGAAAAAAUAAAUGAAUUGGAAAAAAGUAAUGAAAAGCUUCAAAUUGAAUGUGCGGAGCAAAGUGAAGAGGUUGGAAGAUUGAGAGAGGUGAUUGAAUUGUUGAGAAGGAAGGAUAAAAUGUGUAGCACUUCUAUUAAAGCCAUAUUAUUAGGCAUGAUAUUUGUAUUCAUGUUAGGACAUCUGUAUGUGAAUGAUAGUGGUGAAUAAUUGUAAUUUAUAGUUUGAAUUAUGUAUAAAAGAACUAGUUUGCAAUGAAUGGUGAAAGUUGGUUUUAACCUAUGAAACCUUUGCAAUAAAUGUAAUUUUUAGAUUGCAAUGAAUGAUUGUAAUUUUUAGAUUUGCAAUGAAUGAGUUUUAUUGAUGAAAAAAGUUAGUUUGAAUUAUGUAUGGUUCAAGUCAAGCUGCAAUGUUAAAGGUGCACAAAGCACUGCUUUUCAUAUUUAUAACACUGAUUUUUUAACAAACUGCUGCAAACAAGCAUUGUUAUUUCCAUUGUUAUAACAAACUACUGUUAUAAAAAACUGAUGUUAUAACAAACUGCUGCAAACAAGCAUAAUAUUAAAAGCAACAGAUGAUAGAUGCAUAAUAUUAAAAGCAACAGAUGCAUAAUAUUAAAAGCAACAAUGUGCACCACUUCCAAAAAUAAUGACUUUAGCAUUAAAGCAAUUUGUUCAACAUGUAUAGACAAAGCCACAUAGCUGUCAUACAUAAUGUGCACCACUUGCAUAAAUUAAACCAAGCUGUCACAGUUUGCCAAAACAUAAUACUCCCUCCGUUCCAAAUUAAUUGCUCAGUUUUGACUUUUUAAAGUCAAAUUGACCAUUUUUAAAAUUAAUCUUUUAACUAUUUUUGCUAAAAUAUAGGUGAAGAGAUUAUAACCAAAAGAAAGUAUAUACAAUUUAUUACUAAUCUCAAUUUUUAUAAUUUUAGAAAUAUAUUUAUAUAUGCUUAAUUAUUAAUUCUAAAAAUAGUCAAUUUAACUUAAAAAGGUCAAAACUGAGCAAUUAAUUUGGGACGGAGGGAGUACUACAUAACUUAGUGGCUGACAUAAUGUGCACCACUUGCCAAAACAUAAACCAAAAACAUAAGCUAGAGUAUUUAGCUCUAUUCAAAUACUACAUAAUAUUAAUUGGUUGAACUCCUAUAAUACUAAUAAUAUCCAUCAUGCAUAACUUGAACUAGAUAUCCACAAAUUUCUCUUUUGCCUUUGCAUCCUGUCUUGUAUUCCUUCCAUUGAUUAGUUGAUUUGCAGAAAUCCAAUUUCUUCCCCUAGAUUGGAAUGUAGAUGGCCUCAUGGCUGACAUGGAUGUUGAACCUUGAGUAUUCUCUUGGCUUUGAUUGUGAGGAUUUUCUUGACUUACAUUAGAACCAGUUGAAAUCUAAAAAGUAUUAAACAAAAACAAUUAGUAAUGUAUGCUUUAAUAAAGUAAGCAUGCUAGACAACAGAGGUAGUAUUUACCCUAGUAUAUUGUGCCCCACUUGAUAUGUAAGACUCCUCACUUGCAGAUACGUAGACACCAAACCCAUCUCUACCUCCACUUCUCCCUUUCCCUCUCCCUCUCCCUGGUGGCCUACCUCUUCCUCUUCCUUGACCUCUAGUGCCUGGGGGCCUACCCCUUCCUCUUCCAGUCCCUGGUGGCCUACCUCUGCCUCUUCCACUUGCUGCAGCUGUAACAUCUCCACUUGUCUCUGCACUACUUGUUGCUCCUCCACCUCUCUCUGCAGUUCACAGAAUUAAACAGAUGCAUGUUAGUUUUCUUUGCAAAUUAAGUAAAAAAAAUUGUAUCUUUGCAAAUUAGUUGUAGUUACCUUUUUCCUUUUGAAGCUUUUGAAAUGAUGUGUUCUUGCAAGUGCUCAUAUUAUGACCAAUCUGAUUGCACCUCCGACAUGUCAUCAAAAUUCCUUUUUCGACAAUCUUCCACUUGCACCUAUCUUAUGUUCCUCAUGUAGAUAUUUAAUCCUUUGUUUUUUUGGCCUUCCAGGAAGCACUUUAAGUUUUGGGGAUAAUAACUUCUCCUUGCCUGAAGGUUCCCACAAAUCUGGUCCAUUUAUACCUUUCAAUGGAAACUGAUAAGAUGCCAAGUAAGCAUCUCUCUUAAGUAUUGCAUAGACAUAUUCAUCUCGUUCCUCCCUUUGCUCAUAAAUGGCAGCAACUGCAUGUCUACAAAGGAUACCAUCAAGAUCUCAAGCUCUACAAGCACAAGUCUUGUUCACCAAACUUACUGUCCUACCUUCAAGUCCACCAUCCCUUUUUACUUCAUACCCCUCAAAACCAUCCCACUUAGCAUCAUACAAGAAACUAUCAUUCUUUGCAUCCUCUAAUUUUUUCCUAAUUCUAGGAGGCAGUACAUCAUCACCUCUCAACAUCAUUAUCUCGUUUCUUAUCAAUCUCUCCAUAAUAUGCUCUCUCAUAUCCUCAAGCAUCUCAAUUAUAGGCUUUUGUCUUGCAGCAACUAUCCAACCAUUGAAUGUUUUUGACAAAUUGUUGGUGGUGAUAUCACACUUGCACAUGUCACUGAAGAAAGCUUUGCACCACUAUUUUGCAUCUUGUUUUGACAACUGCUCAUGUGCCUCUACACUUAACUGUUUCAGUUCUUCCAUUUGAUCCAUGUAAUGCUUCCUAGUUAAACUAUUAGAUAUUUUUGAGAAUGAGGAUUUCAACUCAAAUCCUUUGUUCUUUUUCCGACAGUUUGCGUAGAUGUGUCUAGCACAACAUCUAUGUUCAGCUUGAGGUAUAAUUGUCUUGAUUGCAUUAUCCAAACCCUACACAGAAACAUGAUUGCAUUAGCUAUAUAUAACAAACAUUUAUAAUAUAGUAAAUGCAAAAUAAAAUAAAAUGAAGUACCUUUUGUUGGUAUGUUAUCACUAUGAGACCAUAUCCUCCACCGAGAUAACCUAGAUCAUCCAUUAAAACAUGCAAAAACCAAGUCCAGCUGUAUGUGUUCUCAACCUCUACUACUGCCCAAGCAAUGGGAUACAUUUGAUUAUUUGCAUCCCUCCCAACUGCACAUAACAACUCACCCUUACAUAUUCCUUUGAGGAAACAUCCAUCAAGGCCAAUUAUUGGCCUACAACCUGCCAACAUUCCUCUUUUCAGAGCAUUAAAUCCUAUAUAAAAUCUUUGAAAUCUCCCUGGUUCCUUUGGUGACUGCCUAUCUACUUUGAUUUCAAAUGUUGAUCCUUUGUUAGCCCUCAUCAAUUCCUUCUCAUAGUCCCAUAACUGUCCAUAUAUAUCAUCAAUUGUUGCAUAAGCACGCUUGAGUGCUAUUUCUCUGGCCCUGUAGCACUGACUCAGUGACGCUCUAACUUUUAAAUGCUUCUUCACUUCCCAUUGGAAUUCUGAGUUUCCAAAAUGGACAUGCUUUUAUUUCAUCAUAAUAGUGCUUGGCCAAAAACCUUGCAUUUACUUGUCUAUUUUUCUGUUUAUUUGUGUACUUGCGAACAUUGUUAUACCUUUUAACAGUAAAAGUGUUCUCAUGUUUCAACACACUUUCCCAUAAAUUACAAGGGCAACCCUGUGCACACUUCACUUGUACCUUAUCCCUUGUAUUUUUUGGAAACCAUACAUUAUACUUUUUUUCAAUUGCAUAUUGUUUCACUGCCUCUUUAAAUUCCGUGGUUAGUAAAUUUCAUUCCAACAAAAAAUUCAACAUUUUUAAUGUCAGUCUUUGGAUUAAACUCAAGAUAUUUUCUCUUUCUUAUAUUGGUUUGUUUCGCCUCAUCAUCUUCAUUCUCACUUGUUUCAGGUGUGUGCAGCUCAUCAAAGUCUAAGUCAAUUUCAUCCCAACCUUUAGCUUGUUCUCUUUGCCCACCUUCAUCAACAGGUCCCUGCCCACCUUCAUCAACAGGUCCCUGUCCAAUUUCAUCAACAUCAACAUCAACAUCAUUUCCUCCUUCAUUUCCUUCUUCAUUUUCUUCAUUUGUUUUUCUUCUUAUGUUCCUCUUUUUCCCUCUCUUUUGUUGCUCUCAAAUUUUGCCUAGCAGCAAGUAACUCUUCAUCACUCUCAACUAACCAGUCACAAUUACUACUUAUAUCAGAGUCUGUAUCUCCUACUCCUUCAUAUUCUAUAUCCUUCUCAUUAUCAGUCUGAAGCACAUCAACCUCAAUCUCUUCUACUCCCUCAUUAUUUGAAUGUUCUUCAAUGUUAACAUCUUUUAAAACAUCAACAAAUCCCUCACUGUCAUCAUCUAUGUUCACAUCAGUACUUACUAUUUCAUGUUCAUGGUCUGAGUAUAUCUCAACAACAGGGUUCUUCUUAGCAAUACUCACACAUGUCAAUAACUCCUUUAUCAUAACCUACUGCCCUAGGCACUUCUGCUAAACUUUGUCCAGGGAUAAGAUAAUAUACAUUUUUCACAUUCUUGUUUCCAAGUAUUGUUGAAACAUAAUCAAUAAUCCCAGGCCCAGUUAUAUAAUUAGGAUCAUAUUUAAACAAUUCACUAACAGCGCCUCCAACAUAAUCAACUAUAUCACCAUUAUUUAUUAGUUUACCACCAUAAUGAAAUCUUAAAGUAAUGACAUCCAUUUCUACAUUAAAAAAAUAUAUAAAAAUAUUUAUAUAUAUAUAUAUAUAUAUAUUUAACAAGUACUAAACAUAAAGUAAACAAAUAGGGACCUCACAUGAGUUAGGGAGAUAAAACUAUGGGGAACUAAGAGGGAAUACUACUUUACAGUUAGGAGACUACAUUUUCUUAGCAAUACAAACAUAAUGCCCAAAUAUCACACAUAUUCAAACCAUAAACAUACACUUACUUCGCUGAAACUUCGAAAGUGGGGACCUAAAGUAGGGAGCUUUGUUGUUUGUGCUUAACGCCGACUCAGCAAAUAUUGCACAUGCACGGUCCUUCUUCGCUGGAAUCGUGAUGAAAUCGUGUCGGAAUGGUUGUCUGGUUCACCAAAUUCUUCGCCAAGAAUCGAUGAUUUACAGAAAUGGCUUCGGGUUUUUUUGAGCGAUUUGGGCUUUUGUCUUGAUCGAUCGAUUGAAAUGGCUGAGAUAUUUAGAAAUAAGUUUGUUUUAUUUUAAUUUGAAAUGUUAAUUUGGUUUUAACGAUUUUGCCCCCACCCAUAAUCAAAUUUGUUUAUUUAAUAAUUAAAAAAUUAUUUAUUUUGCCACAUCAGCUUAUUAAGGCCCCACACAAUUAGCCACGUCAGCAAUUUCUGGCAUGGCAUGUUCAAUUUGUACUAUUUUGAAAAAAUGAAAAGUUUAAUCAUCUAAUUGACAAAAUUGAAAGGUGGAUCAUCAAAGUGGAAUAUGGCCUAUAGUUUAGGGUACUAAUUCAUAUUUAAGCCUUUUAAAAUUUAAUGUAUAAGGCUAAGGAAUGACAAGGCACCCUACAGAGUACUUGCAGGUUUUUCAGAGCCAUCGUAUAUAAAGCUCUCCCCUAUUUGCACCCAGCCCUUACA